UACGGGGGGGGCAAGCGUUGUUCGGAAUUACUGGGCGUAAAGGGCGCGUAGGCGGUUUGCUAAGUUGGAUGUGAAAACUCUGGGCUUAACCCAGAGCCUGCAUCCAAAACUGGCAAACUUGAGUACUGGAGGGGAAAGCGGAAUUCCUGGUGUAGCGGUGAAAUGCGUAGAUAUCAGGAGGAACACCGGUGGCGAAGGCGGCUUUCUGGACAGUAACUGACGCUGGAGGCGACGAAAGCCUAGGGGAGCAAACAGG
rnacentral:rRNA from 1 species